GGAUGUGAGGGCAAUCUGGCUGCGACAUCUGUCACCCCAUUGAUCGCCAGGGUUGAUUCAGCUGAUCUGGCUGGCCAGGCAGGUGUCCCCUUCCUCCAUCACCGCUCCAUGUGCGUCCCUCCAUGGGCGGUGGAAGAGGAGGACUUCCCCAAUAGAGGAGGACUAUUCUUCAGUCAAAGGUAUACGAGUAGCUGCGCUCCCCUGCUAGUACCUCCAAACAAGCUCUCAAGAUUUGUUGGGGAUCUAUUAUUUGCCAGGAGUUAUACAGGUGUUGAGGGUGCGGUGAUCAAAAAGAAUUAGUCUCAGCUAUUAAGGAGAUCACAAUUUGGCAGCAAAU
rnacentral:snRNA from 1 species